GCCGACAAGCGUUGGAGAGUUUGAUCCUGGCUCAGAACGAACGCUGGCGGCAGGCUUAACACAUGCAAGUCGAGCGCCCCGCAAGGGGAACGGCAGACGGGUGAGUAACGCGUGGGAAUCUACCCUUUUCUACGGAAUAACGCAGGGAAACUUGUGCUAAUACCGUAUGAGCCCUUCGGGAGAAAGAUUUAUCGGGAAAGGAUGAGCCCGCGUUGGAUUAGCUAGUUGGUGGGGUAAAGGCCUACCAAGGCGACGAUCCAUAGCUGGUCUGAGAGGAUGAUCAGCCACAUUGGGACUGAGACACGGCCCAAACUCCUACGCGAGGCAGCAGUGGGGAAUAUUGGACAAUGGGCGCAAGCCUGAUCCAGCCAUGCCGCGUGAGUAUGAAGGCCCUAGGAAUUAAAGCUCUUUCACCGGUAA
rnacentral:rRNA from 1 species